CGAGGCAAGAGACGGAGGAGGUGGAGGUGACCUUGAUGUCGGAUCCAGCUAGAACCCAGAGCACAGCCACUGAGCCCAACCACUGAGCACAGCCGCUGCACACCCGUUGUACUGCCACCGAGCACCGCCACUGUGCAUCCGUUGCACUGCCAAUCGCUGCAAAGGAUUAUGUUCAACGGCGGAGAUGCUGCCCUAUUUGCCAAGCUAUGCCAACGUGCUUCACACAAUUAACCAUCCAGAAUUGUUAAACAUUCCAUCUGGGUUUAUCACAAAACAGAAGAAAAAAAACAAGAUCCAUCCAUGCCAAACACCAAUCUGCCAUCUUUUCGGGAUCUGUCACGACAUCAUCAGCCAAAACCUACUUGGUCCGCUCGCAGAUU
rnacentral:lncRNA from 1 species